UUAUGGCCAUAUCAUGUUGAAAUACAGCUUCUCAUGAGAUCACCAAAGUUAAGCAACAUUGAACUUUGUUAGUACCUAGAUGGGUGACCACCUUGAGAAUUCCAGAUGCUGCAAGC